UAAGGAAUAUUGCGCAAUGGGGGAAACCCUGACGCAGCAACGCCGCGUGGGGGAUGACACUUUUCGGAGCGUAAACUCCUUUUAUCAGGAAAGAAUAAUGACGGUACCUGAUGAAUAAGCACCGGCUAACUCCGUGCCAGCAGCCGCGGUAAUACGGGGGGUGCAAGCGUUACUUGGAAUCACUGGGCGUAAAGGACGCGUAGGCGGAUUAUCAAGUCUUUUGUGAAAUCUAGUGGCUUAACCACUAAACUGCUUAGGAAACUGAUAGUCUAGAGUAGGGGAGAGGUAGAUGGAAUUCUUGGUGUAGGGGUAAAAUACGUAGAGAUCAAGAAGAAUAACCAUUGCGAAAGCGAUCUGCUGGAACCUAACUGACGCUGAGGCGUGAAAGCGUGGGUAGCAAACAGG
rnacentral:rRNA from 1 species